AUGUCUUCCUCCAGCGCCUUCUCUCCAAGCCUCAACAAUCAGGUCACAGAGAAGCUAUCACGCACGAAAUACGUGCUAUGGCGCACGCAGAUCACACCUCAGCUGCGCGGCGCCGGCGUCUUCGGCUACGUCGACGGCACCAACCCGGAGCCGGCGAAGCUCCUCGUCACCGUCAAGGAGGGCAAGGAGACUUCAUCGCCCAACCCUCUCCACCCUAUAUGGGUACGGGAGGACCAGCAGGUCCUUGGCUACCUGCUGAAUAACCUCACGAAGGAGGUCCUGGUCACGGUGACCACGGUCACCACGGCGGGCGCGCUCUGGACGAUGCUCGCGGCCAUGUUCUCGUCCCAAUCGGCGAGUCGCAUCAACAACAUACGCACCUCCCUCAUCAACGCGCAGAAGGGUAACCUCUCGGUUGCCUCCUACUUCGCCGCCAUGCGUGGCUAUGCCGACUAG
rnacentral:rRNA from 1 species